rnacentral:sRNA from 1 species
AUUGCUUCUCGGCCUUUUGGCUAAGAUCAAGUGUAGAAUUAGUUAGGGUUAGGGUUAGAAUUAGUGUUAGUGUUAGGUUUA